GCUCCGUGGCCACAGGCUUAACUUCUGUUCGCAGGUUAACAUAUCUGCCAACGACCAAGGGAGCUCGGCGGAAACCCAGAAUCCUAGUGUUGAAGGAUGAAGAGAGAAGAGAGAAAUCUUUGGGGAUGCAUUUUAAAAAAGCGUUUAUUGGGCUGGAGAGAUGGCUCAGCGGUUAAGAGCACCCGACUGCUCUUCCAGAGGUCCUGAGUUCAAUUCCCAGCAACCACAUGGUGGCUCACAACCAUCUUUAAGGAGAUUCGAUUCCCUCUUCUGGUAUAUCUGAAGACAGCUACAGUGUACUUAUAUAUAAUAAAUGAAUAAAUAAAUCUUUAAAAAAAAAAAAGAAAA